ACCGAUGCCUCUUUAUAGCUGCCGAGAUACUCUUUGAGUUCCUGAAAAUCUGCACUUUCAGUGAGACUUAGAACUAACUGUACUAGUCAAUGAAUAAUUUAUGACGGGAAAAGAUUAUACAAAGCACAUGAAGAGAAAGAGGAAUGGCAGACUUUCUGUUUUAUGCUGCAUAGUUAGUGACUUCUAGCAAUCUUCCAUUUGCCUUGAGUGUGCUACCACUGUGUGGUGUAAAUUAAAGAGCAGUGAGAUGGAAAAGAAAAGAAGAAUUAGAGAGUCAGGACCAGACUAGGACAUAGUUGUGUAGCAUCCAAAGGGCUGAUGAAGUUUUCACAGCAGGUCAAUAUAUAUUUUGACAACUCUCUAACCUUGAAAAUCUGCCAGAACAACAGGAAGCAAGGAGAGGAACAGAUGUCACAUAUGUCCUCCAAAACAACAAGGGCAAAGAGGAAGACCUGCUGAAAAUAAAGUCAAGAGACCAUAUUCAUUAAACCUGGUGCAGAGAGCCUUAUUAUACCUCCAUGGGUAAGCAAGGGGGAUUCAUGCUCAGAAAAGCACUUGUUCUCAAAGUCUGACUCAUGAAGCACUUAUGUGAUCUAAGAAGAUACUUCUACCACAACAGGAAGGAGUCUGUCUUUAUACAGCGAUGAUUUGAUGCUAGUUGUUGCCCAAGGCAGGACUUACAUUUCUCGAGGGCUUUUAGCCAUGAUCAACUUUGUAAAUAAUAUUAAACUGGAGACUUAGCAUACAGAACCACAUUACAAUGACCUGAAAAGUUUAGAGCAAUAGGGCUACGGGCAAUGAAUCAAAAUUAAAUAAUAAAUGCUAACUCCUACAAUCAGGGAGAUGACAGCAACAACACCUAUAUGUGAAGGAAAUGUAACCAAGCAGUCAGUGCUUAAUUUCUAAUCUGGCAAGCCCUGGCACAAAUUAAGCAUUGCAAGCAGCCAAUCUCAUUGCAUUAAAGCAAGCUCCCCUCCCCCCCUCUCCCCCCACACUUUUUCUCCACGAUAUUGUGCUAAUAUUACUUAUUCAUGUAGCCAAGCAUUAUAGCUGCUGUUGGAAGAUUUGGGAGAGGAGGGAGUCAAGGAGAAGUUGAUUCAUUUUAAGAAAUGGUCCCACAGUAUGAAAAAGUUUGAGAAUUACUGGGUUACAUUUUCGUUUUUAAGUCUUGUUUAUCUAUUUGCUCUACUUAACAGCCUGAAUGUAAUGUUCCAUAAAAUAUCCCCUCAUAAGUAUGACUGUAAAAAGAAUAACUGUUUAUGCUGAAAUUUUAAAAAAUGUGUACAGAAGGCACAAAACCAGCUACUAUUUUAACUGAUGAAAUACAAUUUAGAGUUAAUGCUUCAUGGAUUGUAGUUGUAUAAUUUUAUCCAGCUCAGGAACGAUUCUUAUUUUAUCACACUAGAGGACAGACUGUUCAUUCCACUCGGUGUUGGCCACAGAAUUCUUUGCAUUUCUACCUCCUGGAACAGCAAAGCCAUAUUUUACUAGUGUGUCAGAGAAUCUAUCGUCUGUUUGUAGUUGGCUGUGUCCUUUUUUUUCUGUAGAAGAAGUAGACUGAAUCCAGCUCCUACUAGAAUGAAAAGGACCAGAAUAUCUACAAACCAAAUCAUACUACGAGUAGGUUCAGGAGCCUCUCCAUGCUUUUUCUCUCCUGUAAAUCAGUGCAAAGCAGUUACUAAAGAAUAUGGGAGAUUCUAGGAAUGUGAUGUUAUCUGAUUAAAAUAUGGCCUUGUAGCUCAUUGUUGCUACCACUGUUACAUAAUUGCAACAAAUCUGACACAAAGUGUAUCAAGUAAGAUGUCAACAGAAAAGUUAUGAUUUGCUGAAUAUGAUUAUGCUGUUAAUAUGCAUGUAUCAUUUUUGUAUUUGAAGUUUAUGAGUAUUGGCUCUAGACCUGUAUUUCAAAUAUAUUUGCUUCUGGGUAGCACCCACAAGGUAUUUAGUCUGCACAUCUUGAAUGGACUAUUCAAAUGAAGUGGAUCAUCAAGAAACACAACUCACAAUCGACCAUGGGGGAUGCCUAUCUACACUUAAUGGACUUUCCUGUGAAGGUUCCAUCU